GUCGAGGGGCAGCGGGAUUGAAGCUUGCUUCAAUUGCCGGCGACCGGCGCACGGGUGAGUAACGCGUAUCCAACCUUCCGUACACUCAGGGAUAGCCUUUCGAAAGAAAGAUUAAUACCUGAUGGUAUGAUGAGAUUGCAUGAUAGCAUCAUUAAAGAUUUAUCGGUGUACGAUGGGGAUGCGUUCCAUUAGGUAGUAGGCGGGGUAACGGCCCACCUAGCCAACGAUGGAUAGGGGUUCUGAGAGGAAGGUCCCCCACAUUGGAACUGAGACACGGUCCAAACUCCUACGGGAGGCAGCAGUGAGGAAUAUUGGUCAAUGGACGAGAGUCUGAACCAGCCAAGUAGCGUGAAGGAUGAAGGUCCUACGGAUUGUAAACUUCUUUUAUAAGGGAAUAAACCCUCCCACGUGUGGGAGCUUGUAUGUACCUUAUGAAUAAGCAUCGGCUAACUCCGUGCCAGCAGCCGCGGUAAUACGGAGGAUGCGA
rnacentral:rRNA from 1 species